AUUGAACGCUGGCGGCAUGCCUUACACAUGCAAGUCGAACGGCAGCACGGGAGCAAUCCUGGUGGCGAGUGGCGAACGGGUGAGUAAUAUAUCGGAACGUGCCCAGUCGUGGGGAUAACGUAGCGAAAGCUACGCUAAUACCGCAUACGAUCUAUGGAUGAAAGCGGGGGAUCGCAAGACCUCGCGCGAUUGGAGCGGCCGAUAUCAGAUUAGGUAGUUGGUGAGGUAAAGGCUCACCAAGCCGACGAUCUGUAGCUGGUCUGAGAGGACGACCAGCCACACUGGGACUGAGACACGGCCCAGACUCCUACGGGAGGCAGCAGUGGGGAAUUUUUGGACAAUGGGCGCAAGCCUGAUCCAGCAAUGCCGCGUGCAGGAUGAAGGCCUUCGG
rnacentral:rRNA from 1 species